rnacentral:lncRNA from 1 species
CAGCCAUGGCCACCACCGCGUCGACCCUCCUCAAGUCCUCCUUCGCCGGCGCCCGGCUCCCGUCCGCCCCGCGCGCACCGUCCUCCGUCGUCGUGGCCGCCCCGCGCGCCGGCCCCAUCUGCGCCUCCAUCUCCUCCUCCCCCUCCAACCCGCCCUACGACCUCACGUCCUUCCGGUUCAGCCCCAUCAAGGAGUCCAUCGUCUCCCGCGAGAUGACCCGCCGGUACAUGACCGACAUGAUCACCUACGCCGACACCGACGUCGUCAUCGUCGGCGCCGGCUCCGCGGGGCUCUCCUGCGCGUACGAGCUCUCCAAGGACCCCUCCAUCAGCAUCGCCAUCGUCGAGCAGUCCGUCUCCCCCGGCGGCGGCGCCUGGCUCGGCGGCCAGCUCUUCUCCGCCAUGGUGGUGCGCAAGCCGGCGCACCUCUUCCUCGACGAGCUCGGCAUCGCGUACGACGAGGCCGAGGACUACGUGGUCAUCAAGCACGCCGCGCUCUUCACCUCCACCGUCAUGAGCCGCCUCCUCGCGCGCCCCAACGUGAAGCUCUUCAACGCCGUCGCCGUCGAGGACCUCAUCGUCAAGCAGGGCCGCGUCGGCGGCGUGGUCACCAACUGGGCGCUGGUGUCCAUGAACCACGACACGCAGUCGUGCAUGGACCCCAACGUGAUGGAGGCCAAGAUCGUGGUGAGCUCCUGCGGCCACGACGGGCCGUUCGGGGCCACCGGCGUCAAGAGGCUGCAGGACAUCGGCAUGAUCAGCGCCGUGCCCGGGAUGAAGGCCCUCGACAUGAACACCGCCGAGGACGAGAUCGUCCGCCUCACGCGUGAGGUCGUGCCAGGCAUGAUCGUCACCGGCAUGGAGGUCGCCGAGAUCGACGGCGCCCCGAGAAUGGUGAGAAUCGAAGGAUGGAUUUCUUGGUAAUCUUAUCUUUCUCCUGGUUCUUGGAAUGAGUGGCUGAUGAACAUCUCCGAAUCUGUUGCGAUUGCAGGGCCCGACGUUCGGCGCCAUGAUGAUCUCCGGGCAGAAGGCGGCGCACCUGGCGCUGAAGGCGCUGGGCAGGCCCAACGCCAUCGACGGGACGGCCCAGACGGUGCCGCAGGUGUGGCGCGAGGAGUUCGUGAUGGCGUCCAAGGACGACGAGGUCGUGGACGCGUGAGCAGGGGAAGGCGUUGGAAACAGGGGAUGCGCGUCGGGUGGAGCGAUUUGGGGGAUUUCAGCGUUUCUUUGGGACCUUUGCCCUGUUGAAUUUAGCUUUGCCUCGCUAGUGUCGUGUUUCAUAGCACUGCCAACUGCCAUGCCGU